UACGUAGGGGGCGAGCGUUGUCCGAAGUUACUGGGCGUAAAGCGCACGUAGGCGGUUAUCUAAGUCCGGGGUGAAAGGUUCAGUGCUUAACGCGAACAGUGCCUUGGAGACUGGAUGACUUGAGUUUGGGAGAGGGUAGUGGAAUGGCUGGUGUAGCGGUGAAAUGCGUAGAUAUCAGUCGGAACACCAAUGGCGAAGGCAGCUACCUGGCCUAAAACUGACGCUGAGGUGACGAAAGCGUGGGGAGCGAACGGGA
rnacentral:rRNA from 1 species